rnacentral:rRNA from 1 species
ACGUAGGAGACAAACGUUAUCCGGAGUUACUGGGCGUAAAGGGCGCGUAGGCGGUCAGCACAAGUCAGUUGUGAAAUCUCCGGGCUUAACUCGGAAAGGUCAACUGAUACUGUGCGACUAGAGUGCAGAAGGGGCAACUGGAAUUCUCGGUGUAGCGGUGAAAUGCGUAGAUAUCGAGAGGAACACCUGCGGCGAAGGCGGGUUGCUGGGCUGACACUGACGCUGAUGCGCGAAAGCUAGGGGAGCGAACGGGA